CACAGGCACAAGCUCUUUCUGGACUUUCAAAGGGAUCUUCCUCAGAUCAAAUAUCUGCAGAUUUCCUGCGGAUCAGCAGUAGAUGAGCUCCAGUGGUGAUUGAAUCCUGCAGAACACUUACAACAACAACAGACAGAUCUCCCUAACGUCAAACAGGUGGAGUGGUCAAUCCCCGAUGACGGUCUCCUGUGAGCUCCCGGCGCUCGGGACCAUUCAGCUUUCCCACAACAAAGAGAAAACAUCCCACGUUUGUAAAUGGGCUCUUGCCAGUUGGACAGGUUUUCUAAACAAGCGUUUCAGCGGGGGGAGAAGGAAGGCCGCUCCUCUGAAUCUCCGCGGUCAGCACUGUGGGCCGAGGGUCAUGGGUGCUGAGCGAGAUCCCAAAGAUUUCUUUUAUCGUCACUGCGAUUCUCGUGAGCUGCGGGGGAUUUCUUCAUCAUAACAUUGACUUGUUGCGAUUCCAGGUUUCCAGGCGUGUCGCCGCCUGAGCAGUCAAGGGUUCCACUUGACGGACUGAUACGACCUGCAAGGUGAAAGUCAUGUGAGCGGCGGUGGACCAAGAAGCGAGCUCUGAGGACGAGCGCCAGGCUUUGAUGCAAUUUGUAUAUUGGUCAAACCAAGUAGUGACAAUGUCACUUGAUGCACUGGGACCCCAAAAGAUUUUUUUUCAAUACGUUUACAUUG